rnacentral:rRNA from 1 species
GCAAGUCGAACGCCCAUCUUCGGAUGGGAGUGGCGGACCGGUGAGUAACGCGUGGGAACCUGCCCUGAGGUCUGGGACAACCGUGGGAAACCGCGGCUAAUACCGGAUGUCUCCUACGGGAGAAAGGCUUGCCGCCUUGGGAGGAGCCCGCGUUGGAUUAGCUUGUCGGCGGGGUAAUGGCCUACCAAGGCUGCGAUCCAUAGCUGGUCUGAGAGGAUGAUC